rnacentral:rRNA from 1 species
AACGAACGCUGGCGGCAGGCCUAACACAUGCAAGUCGAGCGCCCAGCAAUGGGAGCGGCAGACGGGUGAGUAACGCGUGGGAACCUUCCCAAUGGUACGGAAUAGCUCAGGGAAACUUGAGGUAAUACCGCAUACGCCCGAAAGGGGAAGAUUUAUCGCCGUUGGAUGGGCCCGCGUAGGAUUAGCUAGUUGGUGAGGUAAUGGCUCACCAAGGCGACGAUCCUUAGCUGGUUUGAGAGAAUGACCAGCCACACUGGGACUGAGACACGGCCCAGACUCCUACGGGAGGCAGCAGUGGGGAAUCUUGGACAAUGGGCGCAAGCCUGAUCCAGCCAUGCCGCGUGAGUGACGAAGGUCUUCGGAUUGUAAAGCUCUUUUGCCAGGGACGAUAAUGACGGUACCUGGAGAAUAAGCCCCGGCUAACUUCGUGCCAGCCGCCGCGGUAAC